GUCUUAUUGAUAAUAAUUUUAAGUCGGGCCUGCUCAAUGAUAAAUUAAAUAGCUGCAGUAAUUUGACUGUACUAAGGUAGCAUAAUAAUUAGUUUUUUGAUUGAAAGCUGGAAUGAAGGGUUGAAUGAAAAGAUAACUGUCUUAUUUAAAAAUUAAAAUUUUAUUUUUAAGUUAAAAAGCUUAAAUUUAAUUAAAAGACGAGAAGACCCCAUAGAGUUUAAUAUUUUAGCGUUAUUAAAUUUUAGUAUUAAUUUUUAAUUGAUGUUAAAUUUAUUUAGUUGGGGUGAUUAGAAAAUUUAAUUAACUUUUUUUUAAAAAACAUAUAUUUAUGAUUAAUUGAUCUUAUUUAUAGAUUAAAAGAUUAAAUUACCUUGGGGAUAACAGCGUAAUUUUUUUUUAAAGUUCAUAUUAAAAGAAAAGAUUGCGACCUCGAUGUUGGAUUAAAAUUUAUAUUUGGUGUAGAAGCUGAAUUAUUAAGUCUGUUCGACUUUUGAAAUUUUACA
rnacentral:rRNA from 1 species